rnacentral:rRNA from 1 species
GACGAACGCUGGCGGCGUGCUUAACACAUGCAAGUCGAACGGAAAGACCCUGCUUUUGUGGGGUGCUCGAGUGGCGAACGGGUGAGUAACACGUGAGUAACCUGCCCUUGACUUUGGGAUAACUUCAGGAAACUGGGGCUAAUACCGGAUAGGAGCUCCUGCUGCAUGGUGGGGGUUGGAAAGUUUCGGCGGUUGGGGCUGGACUCGCGGCUUAUCAGCUUGUUGGUGGGGUAGUGGCUUACCAAGGCUUUGACGGGUAGCCGGCCUGAGAGGGUGACCGGCCACAUUGGGACUGAGAUACGGACCAGACGCCUACGGGAGGCAGCAGUGGGGAAUAUUGCACAAUGGGCGGAAGCCUGAUGCAGCAACGCCGCGUGCGGGAUAACGGCCUUCGGGUUGUAAACCGCUUUGGCCUGUGACGAAGCGUGAGUGACGGUAAUGGGUAAAGAAGCACCGGCUAACUACGUG